UACGAGGGAUGCAAGCGUUAUCCGGAAUUAUUGGGCGUAAAGCGUUCGUAGGUGGUUAUGUAAGUCAGUUUUCAAAGAGUCCGGCUCAACCGGAUAAAGGGGAUUGAAACUGCGUGACUAGAGUUAGGUAGGGGUAAGAGGAAUUCCUAGUGUAGCGGUGAAAUGCGUAGAUAUUAGGAAGAACACCAGUGGCGAAAGCGUCUUACUGGGCCAUAACUGACACUGAGGGACGAAAGCUAGGGGAGCGAAAGGG
rnacentral:rRNA from 1 species